rnacentral:hammerhead_ribozyme from 1 species
GCACUGCUGAAGAGUUCCACAAUAGGGCGAAACGGCCAUCCAGUGC